UACGAAGGGGGCUAGCGUUGCUCGGAAUCACUGGGCGUAAAGGGUGCGUAGGCGGGUCUUUAAGUCAGGGGUGAAAUCCUGGAGCUCAACUCCAGAACUGCCUUUGAUACUGAGGAUCUUGAGUUCGGGAGAGGUGAGUGGAACUGUGAGUGUAGAGGUGAAAUUCGUAGAUAUUCGCAAGAACACCAGUGGCGAAGGCGGCUCACUGGCCCGAUACUGACGCUGAGGCACGAAAGGCGUGGGAGCAAACAGGG
rnacentral:rRNA from 1 species